rnacentral:tRNA from 11 species
UUAAAUAGAAUAUUGUUGUAAAGGUAGGAUACUUGUUAUAACACUAGGGUUUCUUGUUAUAAGAGUU